rnacentral:tRNA from 1 species
GGUGGCUCAGUGGUAGAGUGCUUGCCUUGCAUGCAUGAGGUCCUGGGUUCGAUUCGUCAGCACCA